GACAGAGGGUGCAAACGUUGUUCGGAAUUACUGGGCGUAAAGCGCGUGUAGGCUGUCUCGAAAGUCGGAUGUGAAAGCCCUGGGCUCAACCUAGGAAGUGCAUUCGAAACUUCGAGACUCGAGUCCUGGAGAGGAUCGCGGAAUUCUCGGUGUAGAGGUGAAAUUCGUAGAUAUCGGGAGGAACACCCGUGGCGAAGGCGGCCAUCUGGACCAGUACUGACGCUGAGGCACGAAAGCGUGGGGAGCAAACAGG
rnacentral:rRNA from 1 species